UUCCGGUUGAUCCUGCCGGACCCCACUGCUAUCGGGGUGGGACUUAGGCAUGUUAGUUUGUGUCUUCAAGCUAUGGUGAAGAUACGGCGGACGGCUCAGUAACACGUAGCUAACCUGCCCUCGGGACGGAGAUAACCCCGGGAAACUGGGGCUAACACCCGGUAGGUGAGAAGGCCUGGAAUGGUUUCUCGCCUAAAAGAUGUGGAACCACGCAUCCAAUAUCGCCCGAGGAUGGGGCUGCGGCCGAUCAGGUAGUUGGUGAGGUAACGGCUCACCAAGCCAGUAAUCGGUACGGGCCGUGAGAGCGGGAGCCCGGAGAUGGGCACUGAGACAAGGACCUAGGCCCUACGGGGCGCAGCAGUCGCGAAAACUCCGCAAUGCGCGCAAGCGCGACGGGGCUAUCCCGAGUGCCGUCCGCUGAGGAUGGCUUUUCUCAGGUGUAAUGAGCCUGAGGAAUAAGGGGAGGGCAAGACUGGUGUCAGCCGCCGCGGUAAUACCAGCUCCCCGAGUGGUGGGGAUGAUUAUUGGGCCUAAAGCGUCCGUAGCCGGCUCGGUAAGUCCUCCGUUAAAUCUGACGAUCUAAUCGUUGGGCUGCGGGGGUUACUGCAGAGCCAGGGGGCGGGAGAAGUCGACGGUACUCUUGGGGUAGGGGUGAAAUCCUAUAAUCCCAGGAGGACAACCAGUGGCGAAGGCGGUCGACUAGAACGCGCCCGACGGUGAGGGACGAAAGCUGGGGGAGCGAUCCGGAUUAGAUACCCGGGUAGUCCCAGCUGUAAACGAUGCAGGCUAGGUGUUGGCGUGACUACGGGUCACGCUAGUGCCGCAGGGAAGCCGUUAAGCCUGCCGCCUGGGAAGUACGGUCGCAAGACUGAAACUUAAAGGAAUUGGCGGGGG
rnacentral:rRNA from 1 species